rnacentral:rRNA from 1 species
AUGUAAUAAUUACAACUUUCAACAACGGAUCUCUUGGUUCUGGCAUCGAUGAAGAACGCAGCGAAAUGCGAUAAGUAGUGUGAAUUGCAGAAUUCAGUGAAUCAUCGAAUCUUUGAACGCACAUUGCGCCCUUUGGUAUUCCAAAGGGCAUGC